AACAACUGCCUUAAAAAAUAACUAAGCACCAAGAAACAUGCUGUUUUCUUUAUUAUUUAAUGGCUAAUUAUUUCAAUCUGCAAUUCUUGGGAAAAAAAAAGUUGAAAUUUACUUGUCAAGUGGAUAGAAAACAGGUCUGGAAUUCUGGAAUACUGUCUUACCCCAGGCUCUGCAGAGAAUUGAACCGUAUGUUAUGAAGAUGAGAUAAUACACUGGAAAAUCCCAUUAGAAGGAGACCACAGAAACUGAAGGUGCUAUUAAAAGAGAAAGUCCAUCUAUUUACUCAAUAGCAAAGAAUGCCAA